rnacentral:rRNA from 1 species
UACGGGGGGGGCUAGCGUUGUUCGGAAUCACUGGGCGUAAAGCGCACGUAGGCGGACUCUUAAGUCGGUGGUGAAAUCCUGGAGCUCAACUCCAGAACUGCCUUCGAUACUGAGAGUCUUGAGUCCGGGAGAGGUGAGUGGAACUGCGAGUGUAGAGGUGAAAUUCGUAGAUAUUCGCAAGAACACCAGUGGCGAAGGCGGCUCACUGGCCCGGUACUGACGCUGAGGUGCGAAAGCGUGGGGAGCAAACAGG